GACUGUCUACAAACAUGGGAGGGAAGGGUUGGGUGGUGCCGUCGGGAAAGAAAGGCACAGGAGUUGAGGACCAAGAGGCCCGAGCAGCUCCGAAGUACCAAUCAUAUGGGCGGGACGGUUCGGGCGGAAAGGGGUUAAUCUCUACAACUCUACCGUUUCUGCCGCUCGAGCGGGCACGGCCGCCAUCUCUGGGACGACUCCGCCUCGGAGGGAAAAAAUGGGCACCCCUCUGAUGCUGCAGAAGUGACGGGACCAGAAGGAGGUCCAAUGGAUUCGGCGGAAAUCGUAGAACACGACUCUACAGUCUCCACCGGAGCCUCAACCGGCUGAGGAUGAGAAGGCCGGUAGGUGGAGUACGCAUCCUCCGUCCUACUCAGCGUUGUGAUGCGAAGAGCGUCCUGCGAGCGCUUGACAGCUGCACCAUGGCGGCGUCAGCACUGCAAAGGCGCGGACGUCGUUCCCGUAGAAACGACAGUCAUCUACGCAAUCCAAGAAGGUUAUGCUCUCACAGAGAGAACAAAAACUCUCCACAAAUGCAGCCUCAGAGUGCUCGAUGCCUAAGCACGAAGACAGCGUUCGUGACCAUCACUGGAGCCCUUAUACUUCUCGCAUCCAAGAUCGCACGGACGAAAAGCUAUCCUGAAAAGGACGCUGAGCUCUGAAUAUACGAGAGAGUGGCUGUCUUUAAAAAGACACAGAGCUCUCACGUAUCACUCUUUUAGGGAAAUCACUCUUUAGGUGCUCAGCUGAUGAUGCGCACAGGGAGAGGCAAUGAACACACUAAACUCAAAACAAAAAAGAUGCAGAGCAGAGGAAUACUGCGAGCGUCCGCUGUGUUAGUACUGCUUGUCAAUCAACUUCAGCAACCGUUCCCAGAAGAGCAAGUAGCUUCUCAGUAGCAGAUAAUGCCGGCUUUCGAAGCGAAAAAGCUAAUUUUCAUAUUUGCACCUGCUGCUUAUAUACGCACCUGGCGGGGCGGCGCCAGCAUUAUGCAAAUAUCUCAAUGCCAAGUUCAUUGGCGUUUUAAUAGUAUACGAAGCAGAUUGGUCUCUCUGAGUGAGUUCCCAAUUCGUCGGUCACGACGUGAUGUCGUAGUGACCGACUGAAAGGGAACUUAAAAUUAAAAAAAUUAUAGCUGAAAAUAAGAGAACCACGCCACCAUUUCCACUAUUACAUAAGGGAAUGGGUGUGUAUACCUUGUAUAAACACAGCAUGGAGUUCAUUAAGUAGAAGUUUAAUUCACAUCUGUGUUUCAUCACAAUUCAUAUUCGACUAGUCAUGAGAUGCAUAACAUCCAAUGCGAUAACACGUGCUGCCAUAUUUAAAUUGUCUUUUUAACUUUGUAAAUGUCUUGUCUCUAUCACAAAAAGCUAUAAAUAUGAAUAGUUUUUCUCACAAACGUAUUGUUUCGUUUCGGAAGACAUUUAUUAAUCCACUGGGUUAUAUAUGGAUUACUUUAAUGAUGGAUGGAUAUACUUUUGAGCUUUUGAGUCAAUGCCAUUAUAAAGCAAAAAUAUAAAUACAAUAUAUAAAUGUAAAGAACCAGGAAAUUAUUUAAUAUAACUCUGAUUGUGUUCUGUUAAAAAGUAAUAGAUAACUUCUUGGAUGACAUGAUGGUAAAUAAUCAGUCAAUUUUUAUUUUGGGUGGAGGAGUAAUCCUUUAACUCAUUCGAGUCAUCAGACAGUCUUCUUGUUGCUUUGACUGAAUUCAUUUACAGAUCAAAAUCCCUGGUGGUAAAUCAACACUGCUCAGUCUUAUCUAUUUGAGUACACUGACGAUCCUGAAGGUGUGUUUAACAUUAAUAAAGUAAUGCAUAAAGUGAUAAUUGAACAUUACUGAUGAUGUGUGCUGUUAACAAGCAGAAGGGUAAAGAUAAACUAAAACAAAGACGUCAAAGCAACAAGAUGACUUGGUUCAGACAACUCAAUGCUUUUAAAAUGUCUUUUAUUUACGGUGCAUUUUAUCCUUUAUCUUAGACAAAGCAGGCCAUGUUAACUUCAUUUAAUACAUUCUGGAACAAAUCUGGGUCCACUUAUCAUUUCUGCUUACAAAUUAACAUUUCUGUUCUGCUCCGUUUACAGUGUUAAGGAGGACUAAGGCGUAUACUAGGACAGAACUAAGUGUUGUGGCCCACAGGAGGCUGUACGGCAUCUGAGGCACACUGAAGGCGCUAUAAACCAGAGCAAAGACUAACGUCGCCUCAUAACAAAGCCGUGACCUCCGGUUUGCUUGGGGCUAUUUCAGCAAGUCCAGAUUUACUGCUGAGAAUGACGACAUUGUUUCUGCUCGUAAGACGUAUUAUUAGUCGGUACGCCGGAGUUUCAGAUACAAACAACCUGAACUCGCAUCGCAGGCGGAAAAUGCGAAAAGUUUAGCUCGGAGUCGAUCCAGAAGAAAAAGGUUGCUGGAAGCGAGACGAAGUGUGCUGGCUGAGGAUGAGAUGGACAUUUGGAAGUGCGCCACCAUAGAUCUCAUAUCUGAUGAGGAAGACGGCAUUGUUGGCGGGGUGUCUGGAUGGAUUGUGCGGCCACCGCCCUCUCGCAGCCUGGAACUCUCCGAGCUCUGUGCCACGCUGCAAUCCAGAUUAGAUGCGAUACCAAAGUACAGGGCAACUCACCAUAUACGCCUGAAAAAGUGACUUUUUUUACAAAGUUUAAGAUUUUUGGGGAUCUUUCCCGAAAGUCCUAGGCACUUUUUGAAGUGUUUGGAGAACAAUAUAAGAGACA